AUAACUGUGAAGAGUUGAGAUCCUGCGCAGUGGAAACAAGGAAACACUUGUGCCUGAUCUUAAAA
rnacentral:ncRNA from 1 species